AAUCAAGUUUAAGAUUGCUGAAGCUGUGGACCAAUAGUUAGGGCUGUCUUUCAUCAGGGCCCUCAGUUUGAAACUGUCAAGUGGCUGCUAGGGGAGCCGCUGUGCUUGCUUUGGUUGCGGCGGCGACGCCGUCUGUCGCAGCGAGUCAGGAGCCGAGGUUUCGCCGAGACGGUGGAUCCCGGUGGCGGCGCCCAGGCCGGUUCCUCCCUGGCAGGAUUGGGAGCAUCGUCCCUGGAGGUGCCAGAAAGAGAAGACACAAGUGAUGCGAACUAAAUGAGUAAAUCCAUAGGAGCCCAGGGAUACUGACUCCUGCGUGCCCACAAACCCGAUGCUCCAGAGGCAACCUCAUGCCGGCACAGCUGGUACUGAACUUGCUGACCUUCCAGUUCCAUUGUGCUACCGUCCUUGCUUCGUGUUUGCAGAAUGUCAUCUGAUGAGGACAAGUGUUCACUUCAUGUGGCUCACAAUGACUCUGACCGUUCUGUCUCCACAGACCUUCAGGAGGAGUAUGAAGAGCUGCUUCGCUAUGCUAUUGUGAAUCCAAAUGUUGAAUGCAGUGCUUCGCAGCCAUCUCACCUUAGAGGAGAAGUGGCACCGGAUAGAUUCCCUACGCUAGCUGGAAAUAACCCUGUAAGAGACACUGAACUGGAAGUGGGAAAAGGAUCCGAUUUAAAUAUUUCAAGCCAUUCAAAAUCAGGGUCACCCAGGAAGCCAUCUCACCCAGUCAUGGACUUUUUCAGCUCACAUGUUUUAGGUGACUCUUCCUCGCCAGCCUCUCUUUCUACUCGGACAGAUGCCCAUGAAAUAAAUGGGGGGGAGCAUCUCGUCUCUGAUGAAAAUUUUCAGAAGUUGGAGAAUAUACUUGAUAUCUGGAGUUCAGGUCUUAAGACGAACGUUUUGUCUGAGCUGAGUAAGUGGAGGCUGAACUUUAUCGACUGGCACCGAAUGGAGAUGAAGAAGGAGAAGGAAAAGCAUGCGGUGGUCGUGAAGCAGCUGUCAAACCAGAUCUCGGACCUGAAGGAGCUGCAGAAAGCCUUUGAGAUCUCCAUCGGGAGAAAGGAUGAGGUGAUUUCCAACCUGUCUCGUGCCAUCGGCAAGCAAAAGGAGAGGAUAGAGUUAAUGAAAAGCUUCUUCCGCUGGAGGAUCGGCCAUGUCAAAUCCAGACAGGAAAUUUAUGAAGGUAAACUGGCUGACCAGUACUUUCAGAGAACUUUGCUGAAGAAAGUCUGGAAGGGCUGGCGCUCUGUGGUACAGAGGCAGUGGAAAGAUGUGGUGGAACGUGCGUGCCAAGCGAGGGCUGAAGAAGUAUGUGUGCAGAUCUCCAAUGAUUAUGAAGCCAGACUAGCUAUGUUAUCUGGAGCUUUGGAAAAUGCAAAGGCUGAGAUUCAAAAAAUGCAGCAGGAAAAAGACCAUUUCGAAGACUCCAUGAAGAAAGCAUUCAUGCGGGGAGUGUGUGCAUUAAAUCUGGAGGCCAUGACCAUAUUUCAGAACAAAAAUGAGGCAGGGAUAGACUUCACAAAUAAUAAAAAGGAAGAGAGUGGCCCUGGCGGUCCCGGAAGAGAGCCUUCUGCUCACUUGGAUACUUCUUCGUCCACGAUGCCGUCAGCAGUUCCGUCACAGCUGCUGCCCUCUGGACCAUUAGCAGCAGGAGUAGCCAGUGCCACUGCCUUUCCCUCCGCUGCUUCCCUGACCUCGGCCGGAGCUACAUCGGCCUCUUCUCUUCACGUUCCCAUCUCUAUUCUCAGUGCAGGAUCUGCAGCUGCUCCUGCCCCAGAGGAAUCGAACAAAAACACGUAAUGAUGCCACUUGGGAUAAAAGUCAUGACACAGACAGUGGUUGGUGAUGAAGGAUGCAUGCGAUGAGCGAGAGGAGGGGACAUGGGCAGAAGGUGACAUGUUUGAUGGAAUAAUUACAUGUGGAAUGGAAAGAAUUGCAUGCAAUAAAAUGGCGCAGCCAUGUGUACACAGGCCUGGUACCUGGUGUCCGUGUGGUUUUCCUUCAGUACGCACCAAGAGUCGUGACCGCAGCCCAGCAGAAAGCUGGGAAGACAAUUACAGCCCGGAUCACAGGUCGGUCUGAUUUUGGUUCCAAAGCUAGAAUCAACAGCAGUUUGGCGAUAAUGGGAGUCUCUCCUCCCAUGGGCUCAGUCGUUGUGGAGAAACAUCAUCCAGUCACAGUGCAAACCAUUCCUCAGGCAACUGCUGCCAAGUACCCACGGACCAUCCAUCCUGAAAGCAGCAUCUCCGCUUCUAGGUCUCUCGGAGCCAGGCCGGGCCACGCCCAGUCUCUCUCAGUUCAGUCGAUAAAAGUGGUUGACUAGAGGGGCUGUGUUCACACUCAUGGCUAUGAGUCCUCUGAUAAGGACUUUCCUGGGAGCAGCAAGCUUCUUGGUUUUGACUUUUCUGUACUGUCAGAGCAUCAUGGACAUAUCAUGUGCAUCUUCUCAGAAUUACAAGAGACUUCCCCAUCCUUUGUAACUGUAUGUAUAGAUUAUUUUAAUGUUAUUUUUAUUUAAACAAUUAAGUAGAACUUUUUAAUUAAAACAAACAAAAAAACCUUGGUUCUAAGCAUGUACAGCCUGCCAGUGAUUGCCAUUGUGGAAGAAUAUAAAUCUUUUCUGGACAUUAUUUCCAAAAGGAAAUCAUUUCCAUUGUUGCUGGGCAGUAAUUUACAUAGAGCUUUGGAAGGGACUUUACUUUCAUUACUAAAACUAAUAGAAGGUCUUUUAACUUUUAAAUAAAGACCAAGAGUAGCAGUGACAUUUCUAACCAGAGCUUUCCUGCCUUCGCUGUAUGGGCCUUCAUCCCUCAGGCUCUGGAAUUAAACACGGAGGGAAACAAACAACAUCUGUAAAUAUUCAUAAGGCUAAAAGGGAAGAAAGUUUCUAAUUAGCACCAAAACAGAAAGGAAUUCCCUGCUGGAAUAAGCCUGCUUUCAUUUCUCUUGCCUGUCUCACUGAGCCUGCCUAGUUCUUUUUGCUCAUCCACACAUGUGCUGCAGAGGAGUGGCGCUUUGAGACAGCAGACAUGGGUAAGCUUAAUGGCCAGCCAGUGUGAAUAGACUUGCUAGGCCAGGCCUGAUGCUGCAUGGUUUUUAUCCCACCACGGGGGAUCUCUGUGAGGCCAGCCUGAUCUACAGAGUGAGGUCUGUCUCAGAAAGAAGAAAGCAAGCAUCUAUGCAGAGCUGACGUAGGAGAAAAAGCUUCUUCGUGGCUUUCUUGCUGGCUGUGUUCUCUUAAGCCAGACAUUUUAAUAAAUGGAUUUCAAGGUCCUCAUCUGUGAUGUAAGUAGAAUAUUUGUCUCUUCCCUGUGUGACACCGUCCAUCUGGGUCUCUACUUCCAGACAUGAGUGGGUUUGGUCAUCUGAAGCCUCUACCAACUCGAGUGUGAGCUACUUCUGUGCUCUAUUUAUUAUAAAAAGCCAUUUUUCUUGCUGCCUCAUACUUCAAGGAGAGACUAAAUGUAAUGUAGGCAGACAUGAUUACAUUUUAUAAUGAUUACUUAAGGCUAUUCUGAAUUAUAGGUGUAUCAGGCAGUGGCCCAGCUACUACUCUAGCAAAAGCUCAUGUGAUUUUAGUGACCAGCCAGCAGCAACACCUCCUCUUACACCUUCCAUGUGGGCACGCUCUCCAGAAGUGCUCUGCCCACCCAGGAAAGCCAGAAGGAACAGUAUAUGGAUUGGUGAGAUGGCUCAGCAGUUAAAAAUACUGGAUGCUCUUCCAGAGGUCCUGAGUUCAAUUCCCAGCAACAACAUGAUAGCACACUAUCAUCUGUAAAGGGAUCUGAUGCCCUCUUCUGUCAUGUAGGUGUACAUGCGGACAGCACCCUUACGUUUAAAUAAUAAAUAUAUAAUUUUAAAAAAAAAAGGUAGGCUCCCCUAAGAAACCACUCCUGUGAUCCAGAAUCAAAGCCCCACUGUGUGGAGCUCAGGACCACUAAGCACAUGCUGCUCCUGCAGAGGACCCCAGUUCAGGUCCCAGCGCCCACUUGGCAGCUUUAAACCAUCUGUAACUCCAGUUCCAGAAACCUCAACACCCUCUCCUGGCCCCUGCAGGCACCAGGCAUGCGUGUGUACAUACGUACAUACAUGCAGACAGAACACUCACACAUACUUAAUCUUUAAAACACGGUGACGAAUGCAUCAACCCAUCCUCCUCCUCCACCCCUCCCUGUAUGAACCGCCCUGCGGCGAUGCGUUAAUCCAUCCCAUCUCAGAACAGAACGUCCUUAGGAUCAGAUAGCCAAAGUUGACACAGGUGGCCCAUCCUCACCUUGCUUCUCCUGGCAUCUUGCCUAUUUUCUACAGAAACCUUGGUUUAAGCUCAGACCUAGAUUUAGUAUGCAAGCCAAGUCAUAAAGACAUCCUAAUGUAAGCUGAUGUAACUGGGACUAUUGCAGGCAUCAUGUAACUAAAAGUACCACGUGUUGUCUAAAUCACAAAAUAAUUCACAAUGGCCUGGGUCAAAGAACAUUAAGUUUGAUGAUAAAACACUCUAGAGUCUGCGUGGGUGUCUAGUUUACAUAUGGAGGAGAAUGCUGCCCAUGGUCAGUGGAAACUGGCCGGGCUGAGCAACAGACUGAGGAGAGACUUUAAAUUCUGAAUCUUGUGAAUACAUUGCCUCUUUUAAACAUUUCUAGCAAUAAGUGGGCCACUUAUAAUCAAUGUAAGAAAAACUGGAAACUGUACAUUCAUGAUAGAUAACUAAAUUGUCCUUGAUUUUCUUACCAGCUUUUCCAGACCAGGAGUCAGAACUGGACUCCAGGCAGGCUUACAAUGAUACAACGAACAACUGGUACAUUUUGUAACUUUCUCAGAUUAAUGCUUGUUUGUUCUGAACAAAAUAGACUGUACCAGAAAGAACAAAGAAUUAAAAUUACCCACACUUAAAAGAGUAUGAAGGGUUUAAGAAUCA